GUUUCACUGGGAAGAAGGAACUGGCAAGGGAACGGGUGAGGGCAGACUGGAGAACCAGGGAGGAGAGACUCUUUCCAGGGGAGGAGGCCCUUUAGAAGCAGAACACUUGUGGGUUCUACAGUCAGGGAACUAGUCAAAUCUCCCAGCCUCCAUCUGCCUGAAAGCAGGCAGUGGCAUCUCGCUCUCAGGUUUGACAUCUGAAAGUAUUAAUUAGGUUAACAUUCUUAAGAGACGGUUCCAUUUGUCUCUGUUAAGAGCUUUUUUCAUACGUCAAGACGUUCCCUCCAGGAGUGACACCUAGUGGCUCUGCAGUUCAAAUACUAAGAAGGAAUUCAGGAAUACUUUUAACAAAAGGAAGAAAUAAGGAUCUUUUUCUUCUUCUUUCUUUUUACUACAAGGCAAGGUGAUUUAUAGCAUAGACAAUUUCCUUAAGGCAACGUUUUGUGCCAAAGGUAAAAAUGCGGUAACAUUUGGCGAAUACUUAAAUUUUCCUCGAACAACUGGAUCACUAGAAUCACAAGUCAUAUGACUUGAUUUGCUCUGAAUUUAGGGCUUGUGUCAUUUCUACACGCGUUUGAAAUACUGGGUUGGCCCAAAAGUUCGUUCGGAUUUUACAUACCAUCUUACGAACUUUUGGCCCAACCCAAUACCUCUCAGACACCCCCAGCUGCCUUCUUCCUCCUUCGGUCAGAGUCCAUGUAGUCAAAUGAAAAAUUUAAAGAUAGUCAUGGAGAAAGCAUUGCUUAUAUUUCCAUCUCCAUGUUCCCAGGCUGCUGUUUCCUUUCCUGAUGUACAGGGAAGCUAUAAGUUUAUUGUUGAUCAGUAGCCUUCUCCAACCACUACUUUCUUUCCUGAUUUAGAAUUGGUUUUUUAGUUUCUCCUUCCUAUUGCUUGUAUUCUUUCCUUAUCACUUCGGUAUAAUAUUAAGUUGUUGUUUAGUUGUUCAGUCAUGUCCGACUCUUUGUGAUCCCAUGGACUGAAGCCCACCAGGCUCCUCUUUCCAUGGGAUUUUCUAGGCAAGAAUACUGGAGUGGGUUGCCAUUUCCUUCUCCAGGGGAUCUUCCCAACACAAGGAUGAAUCCCAAUAUUCUGUUUGGCCCAGAUUCUUUACCACUGAGCACCUUGGAAGCCUUGAUUCUAGAGCUGGGAUGAGGGUCAGUUCAGUUCAGUUGAUUAGUUGUGUCUGACUCUUUGCAACCCCAUGUAUUGCAGCAUGCCAGGCUUCUCUGUCCAUUACCAACUAGACGAAGGAGUCAAAGUGUGGCCACAGUUAGAGUUAUUUUAUUUUAUUUAUUUUAUUUUAGUUAGAGUUAUUUUAGACUCUACUGCCCCCUGGAUGUUGAUCUCAUUAGCUACCCCUCUUACAUUGUCUUGCCUCUGUUCAAAUUGUGCUGAAUUACAAGUACUCUGAUUUCCGUACUUCUGUGUUCUCUUUCUGUUGUCAAAUUACUCUUUUCUCCACAUACCAUUUCUCUAGUCAGCCCCCACUCAAAGUUGCAACUUGGAGCCCUGAAAACCUGAAACACUGAAUUUGGAACUCCAAAUGAAACAUUGCAAUUAACUAAAAAUGUUUUACUGAGAAAUUGAGUGGUAGGACUUCCUUGGUGGUCCAGUGGCUAAGACUUCACAGUUCCAGUGCAGGGGGGCCCAGGUUCAAUCGCUGGUCAGGGAACUAGAUCCCACAUGUGGCAACUAAGAGUUUGAAUGCUGUAGUUAAAGAUCCCACAUGCUGUAGCUAAAGAUUCCCACAUACUGUAACUAAGACACGGUACAGCCAAAUAACAUUGAAAAAAAAAAAAAAAGAAGGGGAGUGACAAAAACUGUGAGUUUACAGAGUUCAAUAUUUCAUCCUCAAACAACAAAAGUAUACAUGCUAGUAACUGAUUGAAUGUAGCUUUGUUGCUUACCUAGUUAUUCAGAAACUUCAGGUAGCUUCCAGCGAAAAUGCUACCUUUCUGGUUGAACACUUACUGGUGUCCAAAGCUGCUUCUUGACGCUUUAAAAAAAUGAUUUUGUUCUCGAAGGAACUGUUGUUUUCCCCCCUAGGAUUUGCAGCAAUGGCAGUAAUCUCGGUGACACUUGCCUUCUUAUCAUGUAUAUAGCCAGUCUUAUUGAGAUGCAGUUGACGUACAGCAAUGUAUAAACUUAAGGUGUACAGCAUAAUGAUUUGACUUAUAUACAUCAUGAAAUAAUGACCAUAAUAAGUCUAGUGAACAUCUGUCAUCUCAUAUGAGAACCUGCCUGCUAUGCAAGAGUCACAGGUGUGAUGCCUGGGUCAGGAAGAUCCCUUGGAAAAGGAAGUGGCAACACACUCCAGUAUUCCAGUAUUUGCCUGGAAAAUCCCAUGGACAGAAAAGCCAGGCAGGCUUCAGUCCACAGGGUUGCGAAAGAGCUGGACAUGACUUAGUGACUAAACAACACUCAUCUUAUAUAGAUACAACAUUAAAGAUGUAGAAGACAAUGUUUUUUCCUUGCGAUGAGUAAUCCCAUUUAAAAAAUUUUGCGUGUGUUCCCCUUGCCUGAGGAGAUAUCUCCAAUAAAAUAUUACCAAGACCGAUGUCAAAGAGUUUACUGCUUAUAUUUUCUUCUAGAAGUUUUAUGGUUUCAGUUCGAUUGUUUAGUAACAUAUUGGUUAGACUCAAUGUGUUUGUGGGGUUUUUUUUUUUUUUUGUAGUUGAUUUUUAGUCUCAUAGUGUUGUGGUUGAAAAAGAUUCUUGAUAUGAUUUCAGUUUUCUUAAAUUUACUGACUCUCUUUGUAUUCCAUCAUGUGUCUAUCAUGUCACAAUAUUCCAUUUGCACUUGAAAAGAAUGAAUAUUCUGCUUUGGGAUGAAAUAUUCUAUAUUGUAUAGAAUGUUCAUUUGGUCUAAUAAAUUGCCAAAGGCCAUUGUUUACUUAC